UACGAAGGGGGCUAGCGUUGCUCGGAAUCACUGGGCGUAAAGGGUGCGUAGGCGGGUCUUUAAGUCAGGGGUGAAAUCCUGGAGCUCAACUCCAGAACUGCCUUUGAUACUGGGAAGCUCGAGUCCGGAAGAGGUAAGUGGAACUCCGAGUGUAGAGGUGAAAUUCGUAGAUAUUCGGAAGAACACCAGUGGCGAAGGCGGCUUACUGGUCCGGUACUGACGCUGAGGUGCGAAAGCGUGGGGAGCAAACAGG
rnacentral:rRNA from 1 species